rnacentral:rRNA from 1 species
CAGUAGCCACGGGAAUACGAAGGGGGCUAGCGUUGCUCGGAAUUACUGGGCGUAAAGGGCGCGUAGGCGGACAGUUUAGUCAGAGGUGAAAGCCCAGGGCUCAACCUUGGAAUUGCCUUUGAUACUGGCUGUCUUGAGUACGGGAGAGGUGUGUGGAACUCCGAGUGUAGAGGUGAAAUUCGUAGAUAUUCGGAAGAACACCGGUGGCGAAGGCGACACACUGGCCCGUUACUGACGCUGAGGCGCGAAAGCGUGGGGAGCAAACAGGAUUAGAUACCCCAGUAGUCCCUGUCUCUUAUAC